GCUUGCUAUUUUAGGAAUAUAAUAGCCUGAGAAACUACAAAUUGACUUUGCUUGGCCUUAUACUGAUCAGAUUGUUGAGUACCAUUUACUUCUGUUUAACUCUUCAUAUAAACUUCAAUGCAGGUUUAAUGAAACCCUCUCGUCUACUUCAAUCUGGCUUGAUGAACUGAGUUGCCGUGGUGAUGAGGAACGAUUGCUCAACUGUUCUCACAGAGGAGUUGGGAUGACUCAGUGUAGUCAUAGCAACGAUGUAGCCGUCAUCUGUUAUGGUGUUGUCUCAACAGCUGGCAAUCCAACAAAUGGUUGAACACAGAAGGGGUCUCAUUCCCACGCAUUCAUUCUGGCCGUCUGGAGGUAUAUUGGAAUGGGGAAUGGGGAACUGUGUGUGAUGAUGGAUUCGGACAAAUGGAGGCUGAUGUGGCUUGCCGGGAGCUGGGAUACAAGUCUGCCCUGUUUUAUGACGAUGUCGACAGAAUUGGGUCUGUAUAAGUUUGAAAUGUCUACAUACGUUUAUACAGUUUUUAAAGCCCCCUUUUUUUUUCUUUACUUAUACAACGUGCAUCAAAAGUUUUAUACAACAGUUGCAUGUGAUGAAUCAGUUUUGCAUACCUUACACUUGGCUUCUAUUAACGACAUCCUUACAAAAUAUCUUACUGUGCUAAAACUCACCCACCCACACCCCCACCCCCACACCCACACGCACACACACACAGCAUGUCUGAAGCCUCCUCUGAUGCCCCAAUAUGGCUGUCACUCCUAACCUGUUCCCCUGGCAGCACUAUAUAGACUCACAGACUGUGUCACCACUUUUCCUCUCGGCACCGGCGACUGAAAGAUGCUUCCAUUUCGAGGACA